rnacentral:rRNA from 1 species
GAUGAACGCUAGCGAUAGGCUUAACACAUGCAAGUCGAGGGGCAGCAUGAUCUUAGCUUGCUAAGGUCGAUGGCGACCGGCGCACGGGUGCGUAACGCGUAUGCAACUUGCCUUACAGAGGGGGAUAACCCGUCGAAAGACGGACUAAAACCGCAUACACUUGUAUUAUUGCAUGAUAUUACAAGGAAAUAUUUAUAGCUGUAAGAUAGGCAUGCGUCCCAUUAGCUGGUUGGUGAGGUAACGGCUCACCAAGGCGACGAUGGGUAGGGGAACUGAGAGGUUUAUCCCCCACACUGGUACUGAGACACGGACCAGACUCCUACGGGAGGCAGCAGUGAGGAAUAUUGGUCAAUGGGCGAGAGCCUGAACCAGCCAAGUCGCGUGAAGGAAGACAGUCCUAAGGAUUGUAAACUUCUUUUAUACGGGAAUAACGGGCGAUACGAGUAUUGCAUUGAAUGUACCGUAAGAAUAAGCAUCGGCUAACUCCGUGCCAGCAGCCGCGGUAAUACGGAGGAUGCGAGCGUUAUCCGGAUUUAUUGGGUUUAAAGGGUGCGUAGGUUGUUCGGUAAGUCAGCGGUGAAACCUGAGCGCUCAACGUUCAGCCUGCCGUUGAAACUGCCGGGCUUGAGUUCAGUGGCGGCAGGCGGAAUUCGUGGUGUAGCGGUGAAAUGCAUAGAUAUCACGAGGAACUCCGAUUGCGAAGGCAGCUUGCCAUACUGCGACUGACACUGAAGCACGAAGGCGUGGGUAUCAAACAGG